rnacentral:rRNA from 1 species
UGGCGAACGGGUGAGUAACACGUGAGUGAUCUGCCCUCAACUUCGGGAUAAGCCUGGGAAACUGGGUCUAAUACUGGAUAGGACCAUCCUUUAGUGUGUGAUGGUGGAAAGUUUUUUCGGUUGGGGAUGAGCUCGCGGCCUAUCAGCUUGUUGGUGGGGUAAUGGCCUACCAAGGCGUCGACGGGUAGCCGGCCUGAGAGGGUGUACGGCCACAUUGGGACUGAGACACGGCCCAG